rnacentral:rRNA from 1 species
UACGAAGGGGGCUAGCGUUGCUCGGAAUUACUGGGCGUAAAGCGCACGUAGGCGGGUUGUUAAGUCAGGGGUGAAAUCCCGGAGCUCAACUCCGGAACUGCCUUUGAUACUGGCAAUCUAGAGACUGGAAGAGGUUAGUGGAAUUCCCAGUGUAGAGGUGAAAUUCGUAGAUAUUGGGAAGAACACCAGUGGCGGAAGGCGGCUAACUGGUCCAGUAC